rnacentral:rRNA from 1 species
CGUAGGUGGCAAGCGAUACUCGGAAUCACUAGGCGUAAAGCGCAGGUAGGAGGUUGGAUAAGUCUCUUGUGAAAGCUCCCGGCUUAACUGGGAGAGGUCAAGGGAAACUAUCCGGCUAGAGUGUGGUAGAGGAAGAUGGAAUUCCCGGUGUAGCGGUGAAAUGCGUAGAUAUCGGGAGGAAUACCUAUGGCGAAAGCAGUCUUCUGGACCAUCACUGACUCUGAUCUGCGAAAGCUAGGGGAGCAAACAGGAUUAGAUACCCUGGUAGUCCUAGCCCUAAACGAUGCUCAUUAGGUGUGGGAGGUAUCGACCCCUUCCGCGCCGUAGCUAACGCAUUAAAUGAGCCGCCUGGGGAGUACGGCCGCAAGGUUG